GCCAAAGUGGUGUAGCAGUUUGAGUACUGGAUUACGACUCUGGAGAUCAGGGUUCAAUUCCCUGCUCGAGCA